ACAGACACCACACAUACAGGGAGAGAAAGAGAGAGGUAGAUUAAUGGUUGAUCUCCCAGUUAUUUGCUCAUCUUCCAGUCUUGUGUCAUAUCUUCUCUUCAAGCACUGUUAAGAUGCUCGAGACUGCUUACUACCAGCUAGAGCUAGCUACUCGGUCUGAAAGAAUGGUCUGCCUGGCUCCCUGAAUGCCAUCUAGGAAGCUUGUCAAAGAGUGUUGGCAACCUCUCUAACUGGCAUGAGGGGAGUCAUGCAGGCCCAACUACAGCUUACUGCUACCCGAUAUUGAAUUCAUGAGGGAAAUGGCCAAGAAAGACCUUUUGAUUUCCUUCGAAGUCUCAUGCACGUGGGAAGCUACCUUUGAACUCGAUGCAUAUUCAGUAUUUACUUCAUCAGCUAUAUGUGUAGCCUACACGUUUCUUACAGUUUCCCAGGAAGCAAUGAAGUCAAUGAUCAAGUCUUCUACCAUGAAGGGACAUGCAUAUUGAAUUUCAUCCUUUCAAUGUACAAAUUUGAACUUGAAGCUUUCUAGGAAAAACUAAUUCCAAGUCUUAAUUGUUUUAACAUUCGGAUGAAGACAUUUAGCAGUAAAAUCAACAAUUCGAUGAAUAGUAGAGAGAGAUUGGAACAAUUUGGAUAGGUGAUUGAUGAUAACAUUGGAGCAAACAGUAUCGUAGGAAGACCAAAUUAAAAUGAUAGAUGAGCGUCCAUACAUUGAGAAGAAGGCGUCAAGCAGUCACAUGGACAUGCAUGAUCGAUGUGUAUUUAAUGUUUAAGGUAGACCUCCCCUUUCUGUGACAUUUUUACGUGCCCUUUCUAAAUAUUAUUCUACCUCUUAUAUAUGUAUAUAUAAACUUGUAUAUGAAGUUUGAAAAUGGACAGCAAAAUAAUCACCUCCCUCUUCCUCUCUCCCUCCCUUCCUUCUAUACGUAUAGGUUCAUAACUCAUAGAGACCAAGCUUUGAAUUAUUUCUUCGCAAUUUGGAAUUUCUUAAUUUGUUCUAUCCAUAACAAGUAGUGUGAUCAGAAGAUGACGAAGGUAAA